rnacentral:rRNA from 1 species
CCUACGGGGGGCAGCAGUGGGGAAUAUUGGACAAUGGGGGGAACCCUGAUCCAGCCAUGCCGCGUGUGUGAAGAAGGCCCUCGGGUUGUAAAGCACUUUCAGUGAGGAAGAACGCCUGGUGGUUAAUACCCAUCAGGAAAGACAUCACUCACAGAAGAAGCACCGGCUAACUCCGUGCCAGCAGCCGCGGUAAUACGGAGGGUGCGAGCGUUAAUCGGAAUUACUGGGCGUAAAGCGCGCGUAGGUGGCUUGAUAAGCCGGUUGUGAAAGCCCCGGGCUCAACCUGGGAACGGCAUCCGGAACUGUCAAGCUAGAGUGCAGGAGAGGAAGGUAGAAUUCCCGGUGUAGCGGUGAAAUGCGUAGAGAUCGGGAGGAAUACCAGUGGCGAAGGCGGCCUUCUGGACCGACACUGACACUGAGGUGCGAAAGCGUGGGUAGCAAACAGGAUUAGAUACCCUUGUAGUC